UAUCGUAUUUAAACAAAAUAUGAAGGAAAUAAGACAUAUACGGUAGAGUUACAGUAACUUGCGCAAUUCACAAAAAGAUUGCAAUAACUAAUUGGGUAAGAAAACGGAAAUGGAAAAGUUAGAUGUGAUCAUUCUCCUGCAUAUAAUAAAUCUUGGCAUAUUUUAGUCUGUUUGAAUACGUCAUCAUAACAAUUUCUUCUACGUUCUGAUCGUAGAAUAGUGUUGCGCUUAUACGAACAACGUGGUCGAUUCCAUCGUGUCAAUUAGUUGGACAAACUUGUGUAUACUUCGGUGCUUUUCAAUUCGAUCUUGGAAACAAUCGCUUUUUAUAGUACAUUAUCGUCGAAAACACAGCUUUUACCGCGCAAGUAACAAUACGGGAUGAAGUCGAAAUUUUGGAAAAUGUAGCCAUAGUAUCACGAACUUGUGUACCCGAUUUAAGCAAAUUCUUAUCCUGCCUCCAGUUGGAUUUUGCAUUGACAAUUUUAUUCCAUAAAGUUGACAUAAGCAACGCAAAAUUUGCACUACUCGAGUUUCAGAUUUAGAUACAUAUUUAUUUGUGUCCCUGAGAUAUUUUGUUUUCACAAUAUGUACACGAUUUGUCUAUUGAAACAAUAAAAUAUCUUCAAACAAUACAUUUACGUAUCAGAAAGCACCAGAAAAACAAUUUCCAAAAUCUACAUCGACUUCCAGGUUUGUCGCAUCGGAAACAAUAGUUACAUCGACAAACAGCCACAUCAAUCAUUUCGAAUCGAUGAAUCUUUGAAUUAUUAAUUUAUUCGACGCCGAAUAAAAUAGUCGAAUACCUUUUCAUUCGAGCAUUUAUCAUGUCUCUCAAUGACCGAAUCAUUUGUGAUUGCAAAAAUCGAGCCGGCAAUAAAAACUUAAACAGAGAUCAACGUUCGAAUAUUUGGAACAUCUCUUUCUCGUCUCGACGUUUCUCUCAGGCCGUUCGUUCUUCCGGCUUUCCGCAAGUCCAAGAGCAUGAAUCAAACUUCGGUUUGAAUGUCGCUAUAAUUACCAGACCGAGGAUAGGAACGCGGCGGCGGCGGCGGCGACGGCGGUGGCGGCCGUAUCUCGAACAGCGUACUAGAAUCGAUCGGAGGAAUUUCAUUUACAGAGAGAUACGCUCGGGUGUGCGCGCGCGAGUCGAAGUGAUUCCGCCGUUAACGACCGGGGAAAAAUACACAAAAAUCGGGACUGGCUCGCGCGAAUACACGCGCACCGCGUCGAAACAAAUUUAGGAAGCCGCAUUCCUCAUGCGGCACACGUGCUCGCCAAUUGAGCAACGCGCCGCGCCGAUGAUGGGGUCGAUCCACCGAUACGCAUUGGCGUCGAUAACGAGCGGUCCUUCGGUUUCGAGAAACGUUCGAACCGGGAUUCGAGUUCGGUGCCGUUCGGCACGCGUCAACAAGUGUCCGGUAGGAGCGUUGCAUAAUUAGAACACAAGUGGCGCGAUUCGAAACGCGCGCGUUAAGUACAAUGAUAGCCUGACGGCCCGGCGAUUUAUAAAAAUAGCGGAGGCGCCGCUUCGCGACAAGUCGCGUCGCCGCGACGAUGCGCCAUUUUUCCUUUCGCUGUUUUUCGCUCGAUUCUCCUCCCGAUGCUGGUAUUUCGGUGCGGAAAAUAUUUUUAUAUUCCGCCGGGGGAAUGUAAACAUUGUGCGAAUGCACUUUUUGGCGCGGCUCCAACGGUUGCGGGCUGAUUCAGUGCCGGGAGAUGCCUCGUCCAUCUUGUAUCUGUUACGCUUCCCGUAUCGUCCGAAAUUCCCCGCUUCCGUGCAUUUUCGACGCCUCGGCCUCCGUUCCCGAUACCUGGUCCGACGUGUAUUCGUGAGAAUAUUAAGAACACGCGCCGGCGAAAUGUCGAGAAGUGUUCUCGUGCCGAAAAUCUGGGCCGCUCUCUAAUCGGUCACCAACCAUACGAAUAUUAGAACAUUUAUUUGAACAAUAAACAAAUGUUCCAGAAGCA